rnacentral:misc_RNA from 1 species
GAAGAAAGAGGCUAUUGUCACUAAUUUCCAUAAUAACCUGUCCUUCGUCACGGGUCACGACCUUCUGUUUAUGGAUGAAACGCAGAAGGCUCCUUUCGUGAAUUUAAUCUGAAGUAGGGACAUUGCUGUCCGAUCAAAAGAUAUAUAAGAAUUCCUCGAUCCUUGCUUGCCAUUAGGAGGGAAAACAGAAACAGAGAAACUGCAAGAACUGAGAUUUCCCAAUUUUCGCUGUUUCUCCUUAGUUUUCUCCAUUAACCCGUAAAAGAAAAGAAAAAAAAGCUUAGCUUCUCUGUGUUUGUUUCCUUCGAGAAUUCUUGGAAGAAAAUGGCUACUCUCAGUGUGCCAGAUAUUGUUCCUUCUCCAACCCAAGACUGCGAGGGACUCAGAAAUGCUGUUCGAGGAUUACGGACAGAUGGGAAGGCGAUUAUACAUAUAUUAGGACGCAGAAAUGCAAGUCAAAGGAGGAAAAUCAGAGACACCUAUCAGCAGCUUUACAAUGAAUCUCUAAUUGAUUGUCUCCAUUCUGAGCUGUCUGGUGACUAUAGAAAAGCAGUAAUUCUGUGGACCUAUGAUCCUCCGGAAAGGGAUGCAAAAUUGGCAAAUGAAGCAUUGAAAGCAAAGAAGAAAGGCACAAAAGAAUUGCAAGUGAUAGUUGAGAUAGCUUGUGCAAAUACUCCUCACCAUCUACAGGCAGUAAGGCAGGCCUACUGUUCUCUUUUUGAUUGCUCCCUUGAAGAAGACAUUGCAUCUAAAGUCUCUUUGCCCCUUAGAAAACUCUUGGUGCGCUUGGUAAGCUCUUACAGGUACGACCAAGAACUGGUGGAUAUGAAUAUAUCCAUCUCAGAGGCAGCUAAAUUGCAUGAAGCCAUCAAAAGAAAGCAACUAGAUCAUGAUGAUAUAGUGUAUGUUCUCAGUACUAGGAAUUUGUAUCAGCUUAGAGCCACAUUCAAGUGCUAUCAGCAAAACUUUGGAAAUCCCAUUGAUCAGGACAUAAAGAGGUGUGGAAAUGGUGAAUUGGAAUCUCUGUUAAGAGUAGUAAUUUGGUGCAUACAAUUUCCAGAAAAACACUUUGCUGAGGUCAUUCGAACUUCCAUCAUUGGGCUUGGGACAGAUGAAGAUUCACUGACUAGAGCGAUUGUGACUCGAGCUGAAAUUGACACAAUGAAAAUCAGGGGGGAGUAUUUCAACAUCUACAAAACUAAUCUUGAUGGUGAUGUUACUGGCGACACUUCAGGGGAUUACAGGGAUUUCUUGAUGACCUUGCUUGGUGCUAGAAUCUGAUAUUUUAUUUUCAAUACAUAUCUGUAAUAAAAGUUGUAAACUGGUUGGAUCAGAACUGAAACUCUACUGUUCAGUUGUGAUUCUAAUUUGAUGGUCUGUACGUAAACCUCAUCAACCCCUUUGUUUGCUCUAUAUGAAAGAUGAUGUUUUCUUUACCAGGUGAGCCACAGGAGAUAAGAAUAAGAUUUUCUCAUAUGGUAGUAUUUUUAACUCAAUUUUCAUAUAUUUAGAUAAAAUUCCUUUCUCUACAGACUUUGUUCCCUUCGGAAUAAAU